rnacentral:lncRNA from 1 species
GACGAACAUCGCAACUUAAUUAGCUACACUGUUGGCCUUCCGAAAAACAUACCAAAUAGAAAGACCACUACACCUAGCUAGUAGGAUGGAGAUGUCUCGUAAGAUACGAUGAGAAACAGCUCCUUGCACACUUUCUUGUAUCUAUGACACCACUGUAGCAGAAUCAUCCUCAAUAACAAUAUAUAUGAUACAUGUGUAGAUUUUGUCGAGCAUACACAAUCCCAGUC